GACGAACGCUGGCGGCGUGCUUAACACAUGCAAGUCGAACGGAAAGGCCCUGCUUUUGUGGGGUGCUCGAGUGGCGAACGGGUGAGUAACACGCGAGUAACCUGCCCUUGACUUUGGGAUAACUUCAGGAAACUGGGGCUAAUACCGGAUAGGAGCUCCUGCUGCAUGGUGGGGGUUGGAAAGUUUCGGCGGUUGGGGAUGGACUCGCGGCUUAUCAGCUUGUUGGUGGGGUAGUGGCUUACCAAGGCUUUGACGGGUAGCCGGCCUGAGAGGGUGACCGGCCACAUUGGGACUGAGAUACGGCCCAGACUCCUACGGGAGGCAGCAGUGGGGAAUAUGGCACAAUGGGCGGAAGCCUGAUGCAGCAACGCCGCGUGCGGGAUGACGGCCUUCGGGUUGUAAACCGCUUUCGCCUGUGACGAAGCGUGAGUGACGGUAAUGGGUAAAGAAGCGCCGGCUAACUACGUG
rnacentral:rRNA from 1 species